rnacentral:rRNA from 1 species
CAGUCGCCGCGGUAAUACGUAUGUCGCAAGCGUUAUCCGGAAUUAUUGGGCAUAAAGGGCAUCUAGGCGGCCAGACAAGUCUGGGGUGAAAACUUGCGGCUCAACCGCAAGCCUGCCCUGGAAACUGUUUGGCUAGAGUGCUGGAGAGGUGGACGGAACUGCACGAGUAGAGGUGAAAUUCGUAGAUAUGUGCAGGAAUGCCGAUGAUGAAGAUAGUUCACUGGACGGCAACUGACGCUGAAGUGCGAAAGCUAAGGGAGCGAACAGGAUUAGAUACCCCAGUAGUCCCUGUCUCUUAUAC